GCUAGUUGGUGGAGUAAUAGCCUACCAAGGCAAUGAUCUAUAGCUGAUCUGAGAGGAUGAUCAGCCACACUGGAACUGAGAUACGGUCCAGACUCCUACGGGAGGCAGCAGUGGGGAAUAUUGGACAAUGGGCGAAAGCCUGAUCCAGCCAUGCCGCAUGAGUGAAGAAGGCCUUUGGGUUGUAAAGCUCUUUUAGUGAGGAAGAUAAUGACGGUACUCACAGAAGAAGUCCUGGCUAACUCCGUGCCAGCAGCCGCGGUAAUACGGAGAGGGCUAGCGUUAUUCGGAAUUAUUGGGCGUAAAGGGCGCGUAGGCUGAUUAAUAAGUUAAAAGUGAAAUCCCGAGGCUUAACCUUGGAAUUGCUUUUAAAACUAUUAAUCUAGAGAUUGAAAGAGGAUAGAGGAAUUCCUGAUGUAGAGGUAAAAUUCGUAAAUAUUAGGAGGAACACCAGUGGCGAAGGCGUCUAUCUGGUUCAAAUCUGACGCUGAAGCGCGAAGGCGUGGGGAGCAAACAGGAUUAGAUACCCUGGUAGUCCACGCUGUAAACGAUGAAUGUUAAAUAUGGGAAGUUUCCUUUCUGA
rnacentral:rRNA from 1 species